AGACAGUCAAGUUCCUGGGAAGCCCACUGCAGAUGCAGAUAGCAGAGGCCUGGAUGGACCUGCAGUAUCUUGGCAGGGCCUAUGGCAAACCAGAAAGGGCUAGCGUUGAAACCCAGGUUCUAAAUGGCUUUAUUUUUUCCAUGACUUUUUCCUCCUAAUAUUCAAUGUCCUUGCAAGACUGAUGGAUCCUAGGGUUUGAAUCCACAAAGAAUCAAAAAUGCAGUUUAUGGUCUGACCAAGGGACUGAAGAAAGCCUGCGGUUGAUCCUGGUGACCCCCCGACUGGCGUUUACAGUGCAGCCAUGCCAUGGCUGGGGGACAUGGCUCAAGAUGGAGUCCCUCCUCUCAUGAUCCAGCCACAAAGGCUUGCCUGAGUCCUUGGGAAGGUUCCAGAUCAGGCUUCCCGUCAGACGCUGUCCUCACCUCCGAUGAUCUGCUCCAAUGGCAUCUGUGACUCUGCCAAAGCCCUGCUCUCUGGAAAAAGAGCAAACAAAGCAAUUUCAGCAAACAGUGGAGGACAGGCCCUGCUCUUACAGGAAGCCCAGGUUCACCCAGAAACGCAUCAUCCCGGCCCAGGCACAUCUGGUUUCCUCUACACUCUUCACCCAGAGACCUAGGGAUAUUUCUACCCAGGUAGGAACAGAGCAGGAAGGAAAUUGCUUUUAAGUAUUGACAGCUCCCAACAUUGAACCAGUGUUGCUUAAUUAAUGGGAAUGCUGAUGGGAUUCCUCAGGCUCCCCUCCCUUGAGCAAAUGGACAACUCCACCUUAGAAACACCAUUGCCUUGGAGGUUAAUCCUCAGUUCUCCUUGGCACUGUUUGUCCUUCAUCAAAAGAGUAACCCAGAAUUUCUCUCCCCUUCAGAGUGUACCCCUCAACUCCUUUUUGAAUGAAUAAGAAACAGAUCAACAGUAUCUCGUUGACUUGAGUGAUCUAAAUGAACCUCUGCCUAACUUCUGUUUCAAGCCACACAUGACCUCACUCACUUCAGAAGGGCCUCCAGUUCCCGCUUGACUUUGCCCACAACGGGUGGCCCCCAGAAGGUGAGGGCCGUGUACAGCUGCACCAGGGAGGCCCCUGCCCGGAUCUUCUCCAGCGCGUCCUGCCCGCUGCUCACACCACCAACCCCAAUUAUGGGAACUCGGCCUACAGAGAAGCACAUGGCGACACCAUAAAGAAGGAUGUGGCUUCAGCCCCAGAGUCCCCCACAAUCAAGGCAGAUUAGGGAAUGAUGAUUCCCAUCACGACCCAGGAGCCCAAGCCACACGCAGAUCUGAAGACACAAACACGGGAAACCUUGCCUUGGAGACCCGCUGUCCAGACAGGCUGGAGAGAGGAGUGAGAGAAAGAAUUUUCAGUCCCAGUCAAGACUGGCCAAGGAGCCAAGCUCAAGCCUUAACCUUGCUGGAUGCAGUUGACGAAAGAGAGGAAGAGGCAUUAGAAAAACUCCUUCAAGCACUUAUUCCAACAUUCGCUUUUGACCACAGGGUGAGUUACACCAUGACACACACCAAACCAGCCUUGAAUACCAAGGAGAGGAAAUCACAAAGAACGCCAUUCUGGGCUAGCCCAGCUGGCCAAACGGCCUCUGCAGACCAUGGGAGGCACACCCUGGGCCCAGGCCCCGAAUCAAACCUCUUUGACCACACUGGCAAUGUCCUCCUUGUCCUGGCUGGUGAGGUCAGGAGCGAUCUUCACCAGGACUGCCGGCCUGUGCACUCUCCGCAAGCCAUCCCUCUCCUGUAGCACCUAGGGCGACACACGGCCAGAGCUGGGGACCCCACAGACCACAGCCCCGCAGUGCAGCUGUGACCUACGCUGCAGGUCAGUGGGUUUCCACAAUAGCGAUCAAACUAAAGCAGAAACAAUUUCUUUUCAGGAAAGCCAGCCCUCAGACAUGUGAGGAGCACAGUCAAGAUGGAUCCAAUUCCAUUCUUUUAGGCCAAGGGAUCCCGUG
rnacentral:lncRNA from 1 species